GAGGCAUCCAACUUAAUAGUCUACCGUUUUGCCGAGUUGGUCAAUGCUACUGAGAAUUUCAAGUCUAGUGAGGGAGACUUUGCGGGGACUUUCAAGGGUUGGGUGGAUGAGAAUACGCUUGCACCUUCUAAGGUUGGCACUGGAAUGGCCGUUGCUGUCAAGAGAUUGAACCCAGAAAGUGUCGAAGACUUUAAACAGUGGCAGCUCUCAGUGAACUUCCUCGGAAGGCUUUCUCACCCCAACCUUGUCAAGCUAUUGGGAUACUGUCGUGAGAAUAAGGAGUUGCUCUUAGUUUAUGAGUUCAUGCCGAAUGGAAGCUUAUAUAAUCAUCUGUCUAGAAGGAACCCUGAUGAGGAACCCCUAUGUUGGGAUUUGGGUGUGUGUUUUUUGCUCUGUACAGAGAGAGAGCUGAUAGUCAGGAAAGGGGAUUUUCACCUCAUCAUCUGAG